rnacentral:rRNA from 1 species
GAGUAACGCGUGAGUAACCUGCCUUAGAGAAGGGGAUAGCCUUUGGAAACGGAGAAUAAUACCCUAUGAUAUGAUAACCUCGCAUGGGGCUAUCAUCAAAGAUUUAUCGCUCUAAGAUGGACUUGCGUCUGAUUAGUUAGUUGGUGGGGUAACGGCCCACCAAGACAGCGAUCAGUAGCCGGCUUGAGAGAGUGUACGGCCACAUUGGGACUGAGACACGGCCCAGACUCC